rnacentral:misc_RNA from 1 species
UAAAGGUGCAUGAGUGGUGUUUGGUUUGAUACGGGUGGUCGGCUCCCUGCUUGAGCAGGCACGGCCAUGCGUGCAUUCCUUUUCAGUUGUGCGGCAAGGCUUGUAUCGUCUUGAUCGUAUAAGUGGGUUUCUUGUGUUGUAUACCUGAUCAAUGGCAUCGUUUUGAUCAAAAUGGUACCUUUUUCGUCUGGCUGAUGCACUUGUUGCAUUGUCGGAUGAACCGUGUAGCAUCCUCUUUGAUCCAUACAGUUGAUGUGUAUUCGUUGAUUGUUUGGCCCGUUGAGGGUGACUUGGUCUCUCGGAUAUGGAAGCCAAAGUGGGCAUGGGUUCGCAAGAUCCCUUUAUUGCCCUCAUUGAGCGUUCUCGCUUCUCUUACACGACCGCCUUUCACGUAUGGCACGUCCCAGCGUGUUUGGCUAUGUCGAAGAGGAAUGCUACCUGGUUGAUCCUGCC